rnacentral:rRNA from 1 species
CCUACGGGUGGCAGCAGUGGGGAAUAUUGCACAAUGGGGGAAACCCUGAUGCAGCGACGCCGCGUGAGCGAUGAAGUAUUUCGGUAUGUAAAGCUCUAUCAGCAGGGAAGAAAAUGACGGUACCUGACUAAGAAGCCCUGGCUAACUACGUGCCAGCAGCCGCGGUAAUACGUAGGGGGCAAGCGUUAUCCGGAUUUACUGGGUGUUAAGGGAGCGUAGACGGCGAUGCAAGCCAGAUGUGAAAGCACGGGGCUCAAACCCGGGACUGCAUUUGAAACUGUAUAGCUGGAGUGUCGGAGAGGCAGGCGGAAUUACUGGGGUAGCGGUGAAAUGCGUAGAUAUUAGGAGGAACACCAGUGGCGAAGGCGGCCUGCUGGACGAUGACUGACGUUGAGGCUCGAAAGCGUGGGGAGCAAACAGGAUUAGAUACCCCAGUAGUC